CUUCAUCCAUUUACCUCAAGAGGUCAUAAUACCCAGGAAAUGCCCCAUGCUGGGGUCAUUAUUGAUAAUAUGAACUGAACACACAUGCUCUGUGGUCAAGUUUAGCCCCGGAGUAAAUGGGUGCAACUCUGCUGACUCCAAGGCAAUUCUGAAAUUGACCAUUUUUUCCAGCACGAACCGUGAAGUCUAUCCAGCCAGAGUCCAUGAAAGAACAACAAAGGCCGAGGCAUCAUGUGGAUAAAGUUACAGACUGAUUAUAAUUCAUGUGAUGAUAUUUUAUUACUGAUGGAACAAAAUGGGAAUAAUUUCUUUGUGUGGACAUUAUUUCCUGUGGCUUUAUGAUACUGGGGUUAUUUUCCCCUGAAACAACAUGGUAGUUUAAUUUGCUUCAAUAGGAAUCUCUAUUUGAAAUGUCCUUUAAAAUAAGUUAUUUAUCCUUCUGGGUUAAUUUUCUUCUUUUUCUUCUCUGUUAGAAUAUUCCAGUUAUUUUGCCAUUAAGCUGCAGGACUUUUAUGUCAUCCCAGGAAAGUUUAUUUGGAAAAAUAUCUUAGGGGUGGUAGAUUUAUUAGCCAGAUAUGUUUUAGGGAAUUCAGCUAACAAUGAGCCAAGCCAGUUCUUUCUCAAGGAUUCAGGUCCUUCUGAUUGAGUGAGGCAGUGGAGAGUGAAGGCAGAGAGGCCCAAGGUUAGGGAGGAUAUUUUGUGCUUGAAAGUACAACUUACUGCCACUGUGUAAUGCCCUGUUAUCCCAGAGAGCUGCAGUGUUGGGAACACCUACUGCCACUGUAGUCAUAUAAAUAACAAUAUGCUGUACUUACAUGGGGCCUUUCACCCUGAAAGGUUCCUCUACACAUUCUGGAAACUCUGGGCCUGAUUCUCCUCAGAUCAGAUUCUGACUGAGAUUCUGCAACCAGUUUUACAAUACUAACUCCAUUGCCCUCAGUAAAUUAAUUCCUAAUAUACACCAAUGAACAAGAGAGAAGAAUAGAUCCCCAGCCCGCACCUCGCUCUCUACCUCUCUCAUAGCCAACACUAAGGGACACCUUAAGGCCCCAGUUCAGU